rnacentral:rRNA from 1 species
UACGGAGGGUGCAAGCGUUAAUCGGAAUUACUGGGCGUAAAGCGCACGUAGGCGGCUUUGUAAGUUAGAGGUGAAAGCCCGGGGCUCAACUCCGGAAUUGCCUUUAAGACUGCAUCGCUAGAAUUGUGGAGAGGUAAGUGGAAUUCCGAGUGUAGAGGUGAAAUUCGUAGAUAUUCGGAAGAACACCAGUGGCGAAGGCGACUUACUGGACACAUAUUGACGCUGAGGUGCGAAAGCGUGGGGAGCAAACAGG